UGAAGGACCCUUGGGCCAAAUCAAAGUGGAAGCCCUCCAAACGAAUAUUUUUAAGAAAACGUUUUCGGGUGACCUGACUUUGAGGGGCAAAAAAGGUAUUAUAAGUUUGGAAUUUGGAAAAAUACCAAGAAAUAGAAGUUGUAGAUAAUUGAAUUAGCUUUCCAACCAUAGGUCAUGGGUUCCCAGAUGACGUCGGUACAAAGAGAUAUGGACGUUUUAAGGUCGAAAGGUCAGUGGGCUAGGCCCAACUCGGGACCAACCGGGUUAGGCCCAAAAAAAAAGAGAAAAUUGAGGCCCAAGUGAGGAGGUGGCCGGCCAUGGUCCUUAAUAAAGGACCCAAGCCCAUUUAAAUUAGUCAUGUGAUAAAUGUAUAAAAGACCAUUUAGUCAACAUUUAUCACUUAGAAGCUUCAAGACAAAUUGACAAAGGAGAAAACAAAAGAAACAAGAGCAAAGGAGAAGGCCAUUCGGCCAUAGCUCCAAAUUUUUGCUCCUUUGAAAUAUUGUUCCAAAAAUUAUUUUUUUGUGGUAUUCCUACUAAUUCAAGGGUCCUCUACAACUUGGUGUAGUUAUUUUGGAAGGAAGGGCACUUGUUUCAUCAAUUUAGCACCUUGGACAAGUGAAGCAGAUAGGAGGAAAAGAUUUUGGGCGAAACGGGAUUUGAAUUUGGACAAGCGUAAAAGGCGAAUAAGGUACACCCAGAUGAUACGAAGUUAUUAUAGAAGAUGUUCCGGCAGAGUUGGCAAGCUCCAUUUGCUCCUGGAGUGCUGCCGAGUCAGAGUUUAUACGUAUGUUUUUCUAGAUUGAUGUUAGAGGCUUUUCAGACAGAGUCGUGGGUAUAGUAUGCCAGUUGUGUAUGCGGCUUCAUCAGCCGAUAUGUCAUUCUGUAUUAUGUGUUAAAUUCUGUAUGAUCACAGAUUCUGUUUGAUUU